rnacentral:lncRNA from 1 species
UACCUAUAUAACUACCUACUAUAUAACUACCUACUAUAUAACUACCUACUAUAUAACUACCUACUAUAUAACUACCUAUAUAACUACCUACUCGGUCACACGGAACACACAGUCCUGUUUUCUUAUUCUAGUUAUUAGGAGAGUGUUAUAGUUCAUGUUUGAUUUUAUUUAUUUUUCAUGCAUUUACAUGCACGCUAGUAGUCCAUGAGCCAGGGGGCCUGUCGGGCUCACCUGGGCAGAGGGUUAUAGACUGGUUAUAGACUGGUUAUAGACUGGUUAUAGACUGGGUUAUAGACUGGGUUAUAGACUGGUUAUAGACUGGUUAUAGACUGGUUAUAGACUGGUUAUAGACUGGUUAUAGACUGGUUAUAGACUGGGUUAUAGACUGGUUAUAGACUGGGUUAUAGACAGGGUUAUAGACAGGGUUAUAGACAGGGUUAUAGAGGGUUUAGGCUAGGGAUAGGAUACAGGGUUAUAGACAGGGUUAUAGACCAGGGUUAUAGACAGGGUUAUAGAGGGUUUAGGCUAGGGAUAGGAUACAGGGUUAUAGACAGGGUUAUAGACAGAGUUAUAGACAGGGUUAUAGGCAGGGUUAUCGAGGUUAUAGACAGAAUUAUAGACAGGGUUAUAGGGGUUUUAGGCUAGGGAUAGGAUACAGGGUUAUAGACAGGGUUAUAGACAGGGUUAUAGAGGGUUUAGGCUAGGGAUAGGAUACAGGGUUAUAGACAGGGUUAUAGACAGAGUUAUAGACAGGGUUAUAGGGGGUUUAGGCUAGGGCUAGGAUACAGGGUUAUAGACAGGGUUAUAGACAGGGUUAUAGACAGGAUUAUAGACAGGGUUAUAGACAGGGUUAUAGACAGGGUUAUAUGCAGGGUUAUAUGCAGGGUUAUAUGCAGGGUUAUAGAGGUUCUAGGCAGGGUUAUAGAGGUUCUAGGCUAGGGACAGGAUAUAUGUUAUAGACAGGGUUAUAUGCAGGGUUAUUAUAGACAGGGUUAUAGUAGAGGUAUACUCAGUAGCAAGCUGACCCAGCUAAUUAGUUAGGUAGUGUAUACCCAGUAGCCAGUAGUUAGCUGACCUAGCUUAUUAGUUAGGUAGUGUAUACCCAGUAGUUAGCUGACCUAGCUAAUUAGUUAGGUAGUGUAUACCCAGUAGUUAGCUGACCUAGCUAAUUAGUUAGGUAGUGUAUACCCAGUAGUUAGCUGACCUAGCUAAUUAGUUAGGUAGUGUAUACCCAGUAGCCAGUAGUUAGCUGAACUAGCUAAUUAGUUAGGUAGUGUAUACCCAGUAGUAAGCUGACCCAGCUAAUUAGUUAGGUAGUGUAUACCCAGUAGUUAGCUGACCUAGCUAAUUAGUUAGGUAGUGUAUACCCAGUAGCCAGUAGUAAGCAUACCUAGCUAAUUAGUUAGGUAGUGUAUACCCAGUAGUUAGCUGACCCAGCUAAUUAGUUAGGUAGUGUAUACCCA